GACGAACGCUGGCGGCGUGCCUAAUACAUGCAAGUAGAACGCUGAAGGUGGAGCUUGCUCUUCUGGAUGAGUUGCGAACGGGUGAGUAACGCGUAGGUAACCUGCCUGGUAGCGGGGGAUAACUAUUGGAAACGAUAGCUAAUACCGCAUAACAGUAGAUGUUGCAUGACAUUUACUUAAAAGGUGCACUUGCAUCACUACCAGAUGGACCUGCGUUGUAUUAGCUAGUUGGUGGGGUAACGGCUCACCAAGGCGACGAUACAUAGCCGACCUGAGAGGGUGAUCGGCCACACUGAGACUGAGACACGGCCCAGAAUCCUACGGGAGGCAGCAGUAGGGAAUCUUCGGCAAUGGACGGAAGUCUGACCGAGCAACGCCGCGUGAGUGAAGAAGGUUUUCGGAUCGGAAAGCUAUGUUGUAAGAGAAGAACGAGUGUGAGAGUGGAAAGUUCACACUGUGACGGUAUCUGACCAGAAAGGGACGGCUAACUACGUG
rnacentral:rRNA from 1 species